CAAGAGUUUGAUCCUGGCUCAGGACGAACGCUGGCGGCGUGCCUAAUACAUGCAAGUCGAGCGAGCGGAACUAACAGAUUUACUUCGGUAAUGACGUUAGGAAAGCGAGCGGCGGAUGGGUGAGUAACACGUGGGGAACCUGCCCCAUAGUCUGGGAUACCACUUGGAAACAGGUGCUAAUACUGGAUAAGAAAGCAGAUCGCAUGAUCAGCUUUUAAAAGGCGGCGUAAGCUGUCGCUAUGGGAUGGCCCCGCGGUGCAUUAGCUAGUUGGUAAGGUAAAGGCUUACCAAGGCGAUGAUGCAUAGCCGAGUUGAGAGACUGAUCGGCCACAUUGGGACUGAGACACGGCCCAAACUCCUACGGGAGGCAGCAGUAGGGAAUCUUCCACAAUGGACGCAAGUCUGAUGGAGCAACGCCGCGUGAGUGAAGAAGGUUUUCGGAUCGUAAAGCUCUGUUGUUGGUGAAGAAGGAUAGAGGUAGUAACUGGCCUUUAUUUGACGGUAAUCAACCAGAAAGUCACGGCUAACUACGUGCCAGCAGCCGCGGUAAGAUUGGCC
rnacentral:rRNA from 1 species